GACAGAGGAUGCAAGCGUUGUUCGGAAUUAUUGGGCGUAAAGGGAGUGUAGGCGGUCUGGUAAGUCUUCUGUGAAAUCUACGGGCUUAGCCUGUAACGUGCAGAGGAAACUACCAGGCUUGAGUGUCGGAGAGGAUAGGGGAAUUCCCGGUGUAGAGGUGAAAUUCGUAGAGAUCGGGAGGAACACCAGUGGCGAAGGCGCCUAUCUGGCUGACAACUGACGCUGAGACUCGAAAGCAUGGGGAGCAAACAGG
rnacentral:rRNA from 1 species